CAGGAUCAUGACCUGAGCCGAAGGCAGUCGCUUAACCAACUGAGCCACCCAGGCGCCCAGAAUUAUUUUUUUUUUAAAGAUUUAUUUGUCAGAGAGAUCACAAACGGGGGGAGUGGCAGGCAGAGGGAGAAGCAGGCUCCCCGCUGAGCAAGGAGCCCUGUGCGGGACUCGAUCCCAGGAUCCUGGGAUCAUGAUUCGAGCCAAAGGCAGACAGACACUUAACCGACUGAGCCACCCAGGCAUCUCAUAUGAGAGUUAUUUUAAAUGCCAACUGCAGUGCUCCACUCCCAUGUCCUAAAGCCAAAAACCCCAUACCUUUAUAAGCUUUCCUUAGAUUCUGAUGCAGGCACUUUCUGGGACACUUGAAGGAACAUUUCAGUAGAGCUAUAUUACCAGGGGGAUGCAUUUCACACAAGUCAAGGACUGUGGAAUGAAGGUGGUGGCCUUGUGGGCAGGAAAGUUGAGGCUCAGCCCCUAGGUCAUAUUUUUUUUGAUCUCUAAGUGAAGUGGCUGAGAUACUUUGAUUUAUAAUAAGAAACAGGGGCGCCUGGGUGGCUCAGUUGAUUGAGCGCCUGCUCUUGGUCUCAGCUCAGGUCUCGAUCUCAGGGUCGUGAGUUAGAGCCCCAAGUUGGGCUUUGCUGGGCGUGGAGCCUACUUUAAAAAAAAUAAUAAACAUAUAUUUGAUCUUCACCCCCCUUUCUGGCACAGAGCUCCUAAAACCCUUAUAAUCUCCUACAUGAAGAGAGGCCUUUUGUUAUGUUAAUGAGGUGCCUCUCCGACUGCAGCUAGGGUUGGGGCUGGUCGCUGGGAGAACCAAAUGUGAUUGGAGGGUUGGAACUUUCAGGGAAGGGAGAGCACCUGGAGGUUGAAUCUAUCUCCAAUGGCCGAUUAAUUAAUUGUACCUAUAUAAUGAAGCCUCCAUGAAAACCCAAAGGAUGGGGCUCAGAGAACUUCUAGGAUGGUGAACACCAUCCUGGAGAUUUGGGGGAGAUCCACGUGCCUGGAGAGAGCAUGAAAGCUCCAAGCUUUUCCUCCUGCCAUGGCCUCUAUAUCUUUUCCAUCUGGCUGUUCCUGAGUUACUCCCUUUAGUAAACUGGUAAUCUAGUCAGUGAGAUGUUUCUGUGAGUUCUGUGAGCCGCUCUGGCAGAAUAAUGGAACUCAAGGCCGGGGUGGUUGGAAACUCCAAUCUAUAGCCAGUUGGUCAGAAGCUGAGGUGACAACCUGGACCAGCUUCGGAAGCGGCAGGGGGUAGGUUGGGGAACGGUCCUGUAGAACUGAAACCUUACCCUGUGAGAUCUAAUGCUAUCUCUGGGUAGAUAGUGUCACAAUGGAGCUAAACUCUGGGACACCCAGCUGGUGUCCUGAGCAUUGCUUGGUGUGGGGGGAACCUCCCCCGCCACAUGGGGGAAUGGUGAUCAGGAACCAAAUAGUGGCCCCAUGCAAGUGUAAUCACCAGAGGUUGCCAUAACACCCAGGAAUCUACGAGGCAGAUCAUACAGAAUGGCAGAUGUGGACUGGCAAACAAGAGGCCGGGUAAGUGGGAACUUAGACGCAGAGGAAAACACAUUGAAAAGUUAACAAAGUUUUCAAAUAUUUUUCUCUUAGAAACUCUAAUUUUGAACUUUGUUACCAGGGUAGCUGGAACUUAAAAUUUUUACUUUGUUUUCAUGGAUUAGCCCAAGGGGGGAAAUGUGUGGAAGAGUACCUGCCAUUGCUGUGUCUCAAGACACUGAGCCAAAGUUGCUGGGAGCAGCACCUGCCGUCCCAGGGAGUUCUGGGGAAAUGACCACCUGUUAUAGUCACUUUUUUUUUUAAAGAUUUUAUUUAUUUAUUUGACAGAGAGAGACAGCGAGAGAGGGAACAUAAGCAGGGUGAGCGGGAGAAGGAGAAGCAGGCCUCCCGCAAAGCAAGGAGCCCCAUGCGGGGCUCGAUCCCAGGACCUUGGGAUCAUGACCUGAGCCGAAGGCAGACGCCUAACGACUGAGUCACCCAGGUGCCCCUGUUAUAGUCACUUCUGAUCUCAGUCCCUCCCAUCUAGGACCACUCAGCCACAGAAUAAAGAGUCCAGACACAGCUAGGAGCUCGUUGCUUGAAAUCUAGGCACGAGUCCAAAUCUGGCUGCCGUACGUCCUUGCCGUGAUCUUGUCUGGGAGACACCGGUGCAUUCCACUGAUGGUGCUAGAAAGAAGAUUGAGCUUUCUUCCAUCUGAGAACAGAGACCCCACCCCCAAAGCCUCAACAGAAAUGUCAGGCUUCCUGUCCCUGUUCCGGCUGGCCCAUAUUACAGUGGCAGUCAGCCCACCACUGCUGGAGGGAUUCCACAGCUGACUUACCAAAUUAUCAGGCAAAAGAAGUUGCAACCGAAGAGAACAUGUCAUUUGCAGGAAAGAGACCAAGUGGCCAGAAGAUGUGGGAGGUAUCCGUUGAGGAUGGCUCCAGUGAGGAAGAAGGUAUCUUUGAAAGUCUCUUCAGUCCGAGAUAUAAGUAGAUAGAUGAAUCUUAAAGGAAGAAGAAGAGGUAGAAAGAAAGAAGAAGAAGAAGAAGAAGAAGAAGAAGAAGAAGAAGAAGAAGAAGAAGAAGAAGAAGAAGGAAGAAGGAAGAAGGAAGAAGGAAGAAGAAGAAAGAAGAAGAAGAAGAAGAAAGAAGAAAGAGGAAGAGGAAGAAGAAGAAGAAGAAGGAGAAGGAGAAGGAGAAGGAGAAGGAGAAGGAGAAGGAGAAGAAGAAGAAGAAGAACUCACACAGAGUAAGUGUUCAGGACAUGUUCAAGGAGCAAAGUACAGUCUUCUUUUCUCUACAGCCUGGAAUAAACACCUCCUACCCUCAAUUCUUGUGCCCAGACCAAACUACU